rnacentral:rRNA from 1 species
CCUACGGGUGGCAGCAGUGAGGAAUAUUGGUCAAUGGCCGGAAGGCUGAACCAGCCAAGCCGCGUGAAGGACGAAGGUGCCAAGCAUUGUAAACUUCUUUUGUCAAGGGACAAAAUCAGGCUCGAGAGCCUGACCGAGGGUACUUGAAGAAAAAGCAUCGGCUAACACCGUGCCAGCAGCCGCGGUAAUACGGAGGAUGCGAGCGUUAUCCGGAUUUAUUGGGUUUAAAGGGUGCGUAGGCGGGCGGUUAAGUCAGCGGUAAAAGGCCGGGGCUCAAACCCGGCGAGCCGUUGAAACUGGGUGUCUUGAGAUGUCGAGAGGUAUGCGGAAGGCGCGGUGUAGCGGUGAAAUGCUUAGAUAUUGCGCAGAACUCCGAUUGCGAAGGCAGCAUACCGGCGGCGAUCUGACGCUGAGGCACGAAAGCGUGGGUAUCGAACAGGAUUAGAUACCCUUGUAGUC